GAAUGCAUCGAGCUCAAAAGCUCCGGCGCCUAAGGAUGGGUCUGCGGCCUAUCAGGUAGUAGUGGGUGUAGCGUACCUACUAGCCUACGACGGGUACGGGUUGUGAGAGCAAGAGCCCGGAGAUGGAUUCUGAGACACGAAUCCAGGCCCUACGGGGUGCAGCAGGCGCGAAAACUUUACAAUGCUGGAAACAGCGAUAAGGGGACCUCGAGUGCCAGGUUACAAAUCUGGCUGUCGUGAUGCCUAAAAAGCAUUGCAUAGCAAGGGCCGGGCAAGACCGGUGCCAGCCGCCGCGGUAACACCGGCGGCUCGAGUGGUAACCGUUAUUAUUGGGUCUAAAGGGUCUGUAGCCGGCCGGAUAAGUCUCUUGGGAAAUCCAGCAGCUUAACUGUUGGGCUUUCAGGAGAUACUGUCUGGCUCGAGGCCGGGAGAGGUGAGAGGUACUUCAGGGGUAGGGGUGAAAUCUUGUAAUCCUUGAAGGACCACCAGUGGCGAAGGCGUCUCACCAGAACGGACCUGACGGCAAGGGACGAAAGCUAGGGGCACGAACCGGAUUAGAUACCCGGGUAGUCCUAGCCGUAAACGAUACUCGCUAGGUGUCGGCCACGGUGCGACCGUUGUCGGUGCCGUAGGGAAGCCGUGAAGCGAGCCACCUGGGAAGUACGGCCGCAAGGCUGAAACUUAAAGGAAUUGGCGGGGGAGCACAA
rnacentral:rRNA from 1 species